AGACACCUAGCUUUUAUGGUUUUCCCUAUUCAAGAUCAAUGAAGUGCUGCCUAUGAAUGGAUUCAUCUCCUAUGUGGAAGGCACAUGCCCCAUUGUUUCUAUCGGGGAUUGCCUUCUUGUAAGCUCAAGUCCACAGAAGGCAAGCCCACAUAAAAGGCGGGCCAACUAUAUGCUGUGAAGUCGGUAGUCUAAAAACUACUUUCACCAGUUCCUGAGCCUACGGUCACAACCACAACUAUAAGCUGAAUUUAUAGCUGAGAUUAUCUAAUGAAGAAGCAGCACAAAAACUGUGAAAGUUCACCUAUGUCAGGGGUGAGCGGACCAGGGGGUCACAUUCAGGUAUGUGGGACCAGUUGGGGACAGCAUUUUUUUUUUAAAAAAAAGAACUUUUUUUUAGUUAAGAAAUUUUCGUAACAGGAAAAAAGAACAAAUCCAUUAGAUGAAGCAAGUAAACAUAGGCAAAGGACAUGAGUUGAGAAACACAGUCACAUUUUUUCUGUUAUGCUGAUCA